UACGGGGGGGGCAAGCGUUGUUCGGAAUUACUGGGCGUAAAGGGCUCGUAGGCGGCCAACUAAGUCAGACGUGAAAUCCCUCGGCUUAACCGGGGAACUGCGUCUGAUACUGGAUGGCUUGAGUUCGGGAGAGGGAUGCGGAAUUCCAGGUGUAGCGGUGAAAUGCGUAGAUAUCUGGAGGAACACCGGUGGCGAAGGCGGCAUCCUGGACCGACACUGACGCUGAGGCGCGAAAGCGUGGGGAGCAAACGGG
rnacentral:rRNA from 1 species